ensembl:lncRNA
AUGGAGUCCACUAAUGGAAAUAGUUGUUUUCAGCUGAUUGAAAGCAUUGCACAGUCAAAGGGCAAGAACAUUUACAUAGUUGACCUUUAUGUUGUACCAACAUGGCUGCCACCAAACAACUGUGAUCCAUUUUUGAGUCUGCCUGUAAGUACAGUAUAUGCUGUUAUAUUUCCUGUUAUGCUCAUUUAUAUGUUUACUUAAACUUUCUGUAUCAUGUCAGGAUGAUGCUCAGGAAGACGCACUUGUGAUUCCAGUUUGGACACCAGGACACUACCAGUUGUGUGUACGUAUUCACACUGCAUUUGAGUGAUUAAAAAAAUGUGUUUUCUGUUUAUGACCAUAGUGCUUUGAUU